CGGCAGUUCCGACUUUGGGCACAAGAGGUGGAUGUUUUCACAGGAAACUUCCAACAAAUAUUCUGAUGAACAACUCUGUUAUACUCCAGGGGGACCAGCAAUUGUUCAUUUCCUCCUUUAUGUGUUGUUUAGUUGCAGAAGUGAUAUAAGAAGAGGAUGAGAUACAAAGAAACAGAAAUUAGGAUUUAAUAUGAACUAUAAUAACCUCAACUUCUAGAUGAACAUGGUCAGGUUCAAACUAAGGACCGGACUUGUCAUCCUUCAUUUGUGCAGAACUGACCUCCUUACUGGAUGCUGUUACCAGCCAGAACUGUGUAUGAAAGUGCUAUCUUUCCGUUGUUCCAUAUCUAACAUAUUAAUUCAGUGGCAUGUUAUGUCUGCUGACGAAUAUAGAAGCUUAGGUGGAGAUGGCUGCCAGACUGACUGAUAAAAGCAGUUACAUAUAUUGCAUUUAAUAAACGAUAUCAAUCUGCAAUAUCA
rnacentral:lncRNA from 1 species